GAUCCUGGCUCAGGACGAACGCUGGCGGCGUGCUUAACACAUGCAAGUCGAGCGGAAAGGCCCUUCGGGGUACUCGAGCGGCGAACGGGUGAGUAACACGUGAGUAACCUACCUCGAACUCUGGGAUAAGCCUGGGAAACUGGGUCUAAUACCGGAUGUUCAUCUCCUGCUGCAUGGUGGGGGAUGGAAAGUGUUUAGCGGUUCGGGAUGGGCUCGCGGCCUAUCAGCUUGUUGGUGAGGUAAUGGCUUACCAAGGCUUUUACGGGUAGCCGGCCUGAGAGGGCGACCGGCCACACUGGGACUGAGAUACGGCCCACACUCCUACGGGAGGCAGCAGUGGGGAAUAUUGCGCAAUGGGCGGAAGCCUGACGCAGCAACGCCGUGUGAGGGAUGACGGCCUUCGGGUUGUAAACCUCUUUCACCAGGGACGAAGCUUUUGUGACGGUACCUGGGGAAGAAGCGCCGGCCAACUACGUGCCAGCAGCCGCGGUAACACGUAGGGCGCGAGCGUUGUCCGGAAUUAUUGGGCGUAAAGGGCUCGUAGGCGGUUUGUCGCGUCAAAGUGAAAAUCCGGGGCUCAACUCCGGACUUGCUUUCGAUACGGGCAGGCUAGAGGUAGGCAGGGGAGAAUGGAAUUCCUGGUGUAGCGGGUGGAAUGCGCAGAUAUCAGGAGGAACACCGGUGGCGAAGGCGGUUCUCUGGGCCCUUACCUGACGCUGAGGAGCGAAGCGUGGGGAGCGAACAGGAUUAGAUACCCUGGUAGUCCACGCUGUAAACGUUGGGCGCUAGGUGUGGGAGUCUUUUGUGACGUCCGUGCCGUAGCUAACGCAUUAAGCGCCCCGCCUGGGGAGUACGGUCGCAAGACUAAAACUCAAAGGAAUUGACGGGGGCCCGCACAAGCGGCGGAGCAUGUUGCUUAAUUCGAGGCAACGCGAAGAACCUUACCUGGGUUUGACAUGUGGGUUAAUCCGGCAGAGAUGUCGGGUCCUUUUGGGAACUCAUGCAGGUGGUGCAUGGCUGUCGUCAGCUCGUGUCGUGAGAUGUUGGGUUAAGUCCCGCAACGAGCGCAACCCUCGUCCUAUGUUGCCAGCACGUUAUGGUGGGGACUCAUAGGAGACUGCCGGGGUCAACUCGGAGGAAGGUGGGGAUGAUGUCAAGUCUUCAUGCCCCUUAUGUCCAGGGCUGCAAACAUGCUACAAUGGUCGGUACAAUGGGCUGCGAGACCGUGAGGUGGAGCGAAUCCCUAAAAGCCGGCCUCAGUUCGGAUCGGGGUCUGCAACUCGACCCCGUGAAGUUGGAGUCGCUAGUAAUCGCGGAUCAGCAACGCCGCGGUGAAUACGUUCCCGGGCCUUGUACACACCGCCC
rnacentral:rRNA from 1 species